rnacentral:tRNA from 1 species
GGGGCUGUAGCUCAGUUGGGAGAGCGGUUCGUUCGCAACGAACAGGCCGAGGGUUCGAAUCCCUUCAGCUCCA